ensembl:lncRNA
CUUUACCCUAACCCAGCAUGAACAUCUCCCCUGACGGACAAGAUGCUCUUCCUGGGAUGGAGGGCCAGGGCCACUAUGAGGAGGACAACUUUGACUUUGAGACCUCAGGGGCAAACAACAACAUGGAUAAUGGAGGCUCCCAGAACCUCACCAAGCUCACCACGGCCAACAUGGACGACAUGGACAACUAUUACAACUUUGGGAAGGAUACAGCUAACUACAACACGUCUUGAGCAGCAGGAGAAUAGUGUUAAUGGACUACAGACCAUUAGACACCAUGGAUUAAUGGAGAAGAGACCAUGGGUUAAUGGUGGACUAACUGCAGACCAUGGGUUAUUGGUGGACUAACUACAGACCAUGGGUUAUUGGUGGACUAACUACAGACCAUGGGUUAUUGGUGGACUAACUACAGACCAUGGGUUAUUGGUGGACUAACUACAGACCAUGGGUUAUUGGUGGACUAACUACAGACCAUAGGUUAUUGGUGGACUAACUACAGACCAUGGUUUAUUGGUGGACUAACUACAGACCAUGGGUUAUUGGUGGACUAACUACAGACCAUGGGAAAACAGAAAGGAAAAUGCCACACUGCUGCUCAUGCUCCCAGCUGAUAUUUAUUUAUAACGUUUCCACCCUUAGGUCUUCAUCAGGUAUCCAGGACCUAAUGGUGGAAACAUUGUUAUGAAUAGAUAUCUGGGAGCACAAGCAGCAGUGUGGCGUUUUCCUUUCUGUUUUCCAUGAGUUUACCUAGAACUCCAGCACCUGUGGAAAGUACCUGGAUGUGUGUAUGUUCUUCAGCUUUUGUUAAUGGAGAGGAGACCAUGGGUGGGGAACAGACAACAUGGCUGCCGUGCUGUGGCAGUGAGAGAGACUGGGUUAGGGCGUGCUGUGGCAGUGAGAGAGACUGGGUUAGGGCGUGCUGUGGCAGUGAGUCUAGGUUAGGGCGUGCUGUGGCAGUGAGAGAGACUGGGUUAAGGUUAGGGCGUGCUGUGGCAGUGAGACACAGGGAGGGGGUUCAUGGACUCUUUAAGAACCAGAACUGACCUGUCCUGAUGGAGGGGCAGGACAUGCACUUCAACAGCCAAUUCGCUCCACCCGUCUCUGAUAGAAGUGACUCUGAGACUGACGAUUGUGUCUAGAAGUCCUUUGGUAUAUUCUACCAGACAUGAUUGGUCUAACGUCCUUUGGGAUAUUCUACCAGACAUGAUUGGUCUAGAAGUCUUUGGGAUAUUCUACCAGACAUGAUUGGUCUAGAAGUCUUUGGGAUAUUCUACCAGACAUGAUUGGUCUAGAAGUCCUUUGGGAUAAUCGACCAGACAUGAUUGGUCUAGAAGUCUUUGGGAUAUUCUACCAGACAUGAUUGGUCUAGAAGUCCUUUGGGAUAAUCGACCAGACAUGAUUGGUCUAGAAGUCUUUGGGAUAUUCUACCAGACAUGAUUGGUCUAGAAGUCCUUUGGGAUAAUCGACAAGACAUGAUUGGUCUAGAAGUCUUUGGGAUAUUCUACCAGACAUGAUUGGUCUAGAAGUCCUUUGGGAUAAUCUACCAGACAUGAUUGGUCUAGAAGUCUUUGGGAUAUUCUACCAGACAUGAUUGGUCUAGAAGUCUUUGGGAUAUUCUACCAGACAUGAUUGGUCUAGAAGUCUUUGGGAUAUUCUACCAGACAUGAUUGGUCUAAAGUCCUUUGGGAUAUUCUACCAGACAUGAUUGGUCUAAAGUCCUUUGGGAUAUUCUACCAGACAUGAUUGGUCUAGAAGUCUUUGGGAUAUUCUACCAGACAUGAUUGGUCUAGAAGUCUUUGGGAUAUUCUACCAGACAUGAUUGGUCUAGAAGUCUUUGGGAUAUUCUACCAGACAUGAUUGGUCUAGAAGUCCUUUGGGAUAAUCGACCAGACAUGAUUGGUCUAGAAGUCUUUGGGAUAUUCUACCAGACAUGAUUGGUCUAGAAGUCCUUUGGGAUAAUCUACCAGACAUGAUUGGUCUAGAAGUCUUUGGGAUAUUCUACCAGACAUGAUUGGUCUAGAAGUCUUUGGGAUAUUCUACCAGACAUGAUUGGUCUAGAAGUCUUUGGGAUAUUCUACCAGACAUGAUUGGUCUAGAAGUCCUUUGGGAUAAUCGACCAGACAUGAUUGGUCUAGAAGUCUUUGGGAUAUUCUACCAGACAUGAUUGGUCUAGAAAUCCUUGGGAUAUUCUAUCAGACAUAUAGUGACAGAUCUAAACUCUGAUAAGUUGUGGUAUGGAACUGUAUCAGCACUCAGAAAUCAGUUUUACACAGAAACAUCUUACCUGCCAUGGAAUCAUUCACCAAUCAGUAUGUUUUGACAGAAGGCCGUGCCAGAUGCAGUAUAACUCUGAUCUUAGAUCCAAAUAGACACACUGUAUACAGCGCCUUCAGAAAGUCUUCACACCCCUGGACUUUUUACACAUGUUGUGUUACAGCCUGGAUUUAAAAUGGAUUCAAUGUCACUGGCCUACACACAAUAAUACCCCAUAAUGUCAAGGUGAAUUUAUGUUUGUAGAAUUUUUUAUGAGAAGCUGAAAUGUCUUGAGUCAGUAAGUAUUCAACCCCUUUAUUAUGGCCAGCCUAAAUAAGUUCAGGAAUAAAAAUGUGCUUACCAAGUUGCAUGGACUCAGUCUGUGUGCAAUAAUACUGUUUAGCAUGUUUCUUGAAUGACUACCUUAUCUCUGUACCCCACACAUACAGAUAAUUGUAAGGUCCCUCAGUCGAGCAGUGAAUUUCAAACACAGAUACAACCACAAAGACCAGAGAGGUUUUCCAAUGCCUUGCAAAGAAGGGCACCUAUUGGUAGAUGGGUAAAAUAAAAAAGCAGACAUUGAUUAUCUCUUUGAGCAGGGUGAAGUUUUUAAUUACACUUUGGAUAGCAUAUCAAUAUACCAAGUCACUACAAAGAUGCAGGUGUCCUUCCUAACUCAGUUGCAGGAGAGGAAGGAAAUCGCUCAGGGAUUUCACCAUGUGGCCAAUGGUGACUUUAAAACAGUUAGAGUUUAAUGGCUGUGAUAGAAAACUGAGGAUGGAUCAACAACAUUGUAGUUACUCCACAAUACUAACUUGAAUGACAGAGUGAAAAGAAGGACGCCUCUACAGAAUACAAAUAUUCUAAAACAUGCAUCCUUUUGUAAGGCACUAAAGUAAUACUACAAAAAAUAUGUCAAAGAAAUUAACACUUUGUAUUCAGGACAUAAAGUUAUGUUUGGGGCACAUCCAAUACAACACAUCACUGAGUACCACUCUCCAUAUUUUCAAGCAUGGUGGUGACUGCAUCAUGUUAUGGGUGUGCUUUUCAUCAUUAAGGACUGGGGAGGUUUUCAGGAUAAAAAAGAACUGAAUGGAGCUAAGCACAGACAAAAUCCUAGAGGAAGACCUGGUUCAGUCUGCUUUCCAACAGACACUGGGAGAUGAAUUCACCUUUCAGCAGGACAAAAACUUAAAAUACAAGGCCAAAUAUACACGGAACAAAAAUAUAAACGCAACAUGCUACAAUUUCAAAGAUUCUACUGAGUUACAGGUCAUAAGGAAAUCAGUCAAUUGAAAUAAAUUCAUUAGACCCUAAUCUAUGGAUUUCACAUAACUUGAAAUACAGAUAUGCAUCUGUUGGCCACAGAUACCUUAACAAAAAGGUAUGUGCAUGGAUCAGAAAACCAGUCAGUAUCUUUUUUUACCCUUAUUUAACUAGGCAAGUCAGUUAAGGGCAAAUUCUUAUUUUCAAUGACGGCCUAGGAACAGUGGGUUAACUGCCUGUUCAUGGGCAGAACGACAGAUUUGUACCUUGUCAGCUCGGCGAUUUGAACUUGCAACCUUUCGGUAACUAGUCCAACACUCUAACCACUGGGCUACCCUGCCGCCCAUUUGGUGUCACCCCCAUUUGCCUCAAGCACCGCAACACAUCUCCAUCGCAUAGAGUUGAUAAGGCUGUUAAUUGUGACCUGUGGAAUGUUGUGCCACUCCUCUUCAAUGGCUGUGUGCAGUUGCUGGAUAUUGGCAGGAACUGGAACACACUGUCAUACACGUUGAUACAGAGCAUCCCAAACAUGCUCAAUUAAUGACAUGUCUGGUGAGUAUGCAGGCCAUGGAAGAACUGGGACAUUUUCAGCUUCCAGGAAUUGUGUUCAGAUCCAUGUGACAUGGGCCCGUGCAUUAUCAUACUGAAACAUGAGGUGAUGGCGGUGGAUGAAUGGAUGAGUGGACAAUGGGCCUCAGGAUCUCAUCACGGUAUCUCUGCAUUCAAAUUGCCAUCGAUAAAAUGCAGUUGUGUUCAUUAUCCAUAGUUUAUGCCUGCCCAUACCAUAACCCCGCCGCCACCAUGGGGUACUCUGUUCAUCAGCAAACCUCUCGUACACUCGACGCCAUACACACUGUCUGCCAUCUGCCCGGGACAGUUGAAACUGGGAUUAAUCCAUGAAGAGCACACUUUUCCAGCGUGCCAGUGACAAUUGAAGGUGAGCAUUUUCCCACUGAAGAUGGUUAUGACGCCGAACACGCAGAUGAGCUUCCCUGAGACAGUUUUUGACAGUUUGUGCAGAAAUUCUUUGGUUGUGCAAACCCACAGUUUCAUCAGCUGUCCAGCUGGCUGGUCUCAGACAAUCCCGCUGGUGAAGAAGCUGGUUAUGGAGGUCCUGGGCUACAGUGGUUACACGUAGUCUGCGGUUCUGAGGCUGGUUGGACGUACUGCCAAAUUCUCUAAAACUACGUCGAAGGCAGCUUAUGGUAGAAAUUAACAUUAAAUUAUCAGGCAACAGCUCUGGCGGACAUUCUUGCCGUCAGCAUGCCAAUCGCACGCUCCCUUAAAACUUGAGACUUCUUGGCAUUGUGCUGUGUGACAAAACUGCACAUUUGUGUGGCCUUUUAUUGUCCCCAGCACAAGGGGUACCUGUGUAAUGGUCAUGCUGUUUAAUCAGCUUCUUGAUUUGCCACACCUGUCAGGUGGAUGGAUUAUCUUGGCAAAGGAUAAAUGCUCACUAAUGGAUGUCAACAAAUUAGUGCACAACAUUUGAGUGAAAUAAGCUUUUUGUGUGUAUGAAACAUUUCUGGGAUCUUUUAUUUCAGCUCAUUAAACAUGGGUUCAACACUUAUCUAUUUUUGUUCAGUAUACAUUUGAGUGCUUACCAAGAUGACAUUGAAUGUUCCGGUGUGGCCUAGUUACAGUUUUUACUUAAAACUACUUGAAAAUCUAUGGCAAGACCUUAAAAUGGCAGUCUAGCAAUGAUCAACAACCAACUUGACAGAGCUUGAAGAAUUAAAAAGCUCUUAGAGAUUUACCCAGAAAGACACAGGUGUAAUCGUUGCCAAAGGUGAUUCUAACAUGUAUUGACUCAGGGGGUUGAAUACUUAUCUAAUCACAAUAUAUUAGUAUUUUGUGUAGAUCAUUGACAAAAAAAUGACAAUUAAAUCCAUUUGAAUCCCACUUUGUAAAACAACCAAAUCUGGAAAGAGUCGAGAGGUACUUUCUAUUAGACAUUGAUACAUAUAACAGGUUUGAAUGAUCUUCACAACAUGCCUGAUCUGCAGCAUGGAGGAGCACAGGAACAGUCUUCUAUGAGCUGAUCUGGAGUAAGGUCUAUACUUCCCAAAGUGACUGCUGUCUGCUGUUUCUGCUGGCUAAUACUACAACAUGUUGCUGAUGUGUAACCACUUACAGUACUGUCUCCUUACUCUACAAACAAACCUUUUUCCCCCACCUUGUUUCACUUGGUUUAGCUUGACAUUCAGACCAGAUCUGGACCGGGCUACCUGAGACGGUACGACCAGAUCUGGACCGGGCUACCUGAGACGGUACGACCAGAUCUGGACCGGGCUACCUGAGAC